UUGACAUCCACAGAACUUUCCAGAGAUGGAUUGGUGCCUUCGGGAACUGUGAGACAGGUGCUGCAUGGCUGUCGUCAGCUCGUGUUGUGAAAUGUUGGGUUAAGUCCCGCAACGAGCGCAACCCUUAUCCUUUGUUGCCAGCGGUCCGGCCGGGAACUCAAAGGAGACUGCCAGUGAUAAACUGGAGGAAGGUGGGGAUGACGUCAAGUCAUCAUGGCCCUUACGACCAGGGCUACACACGUGCUACAAUGGCGCAUACAAAGAGAAGCGACCUCGCGAGAGCAAGCGGACCUCAUAAAGUGCGUCGUAGUCCGGAUUGGAGUCUGCAACUCGACUCCAUGAAGUCGGAAUCGCUAGUAAUCGUGGAAAAGCCUGCCCUUUUGGUGAAAA
rnacentral:rRNA from 1 species